rnacentral:rRNA from 1 species
UACGGAGGGUGCAAGCAUUGAUCGGAAUUACUGGGCGUAAAGGGCGCGCAGGCGGUCGGGAAAGUCAGAUGUGGAAAUUCCGGGGCUCAACCCCGGAGCUGCAUUUUGAAACUUCCUGUCUAGAGUUCAGUUAGGGAAAACGGAAUUCCAACGUGUAGCGGUGAAAUGCGUAGAUAUGUGGAAGAAGCACCGGUGGUGAAGACGGUUUUCUGGGCUGAUACUGACGCUGAGGCGCGAAAAGCAAGGGGAGGCAAAACAGG